CGUGAGUGGCAAACGGGUGAGUAACACGUGGGAAUCUACCCAUCAGUACGGAAUAACAUUUGGAAACAGGUGCUAAUACCGUAUAUUCUCUAAGGAGGAAAGAUUUAUCGCUGAUGGAUGAGCCCGCGCAAGAUUAGGUAGUUGGUAGGGUAAUGGCCUACCAAGCCGACGAUCUUUAGCUGGUCUGAGAGGGAGACCCCCCACACUGGUACUGAGACACGGACCAGACUCC
rnacentral:rRNA from 1 species